rfam:Oryza sativa Japonica Group DNA, chromosome 1, cultivar: Nipponbare, complete sequence.
UUUAAGUACAACCAUAAAUUUCUGUGUCCAACUUUGAUCGUCCAUCUUAUUUGAAUUUUUUUUAUAAUUAUUAUUUUUGUUGUUAUGAGAUGAUAAAACAUGAACAAUACUUUACUCGUGACUUAUGUUUUUCAAUUUUUUGAAAAUUUUUUUCAAAUAAGAUGGACAAUUAAAGUUGGGCACGAAAAAUCAUGGUUGCACUUAAA